GGCUGUUGAAGAUGCUCUUAGUAGAGUAGAGUACCACAUCUUCUUCCUCCCCCGGCCGGUCUCCCACUCCCCUAGUCACUUUUGAGGGAGGCCUCCCAUGGGGAUGGGGGAGAGAUCUAGACAGACAGAGGAUGAAGGACUUCGCGCUAGACGGGGUCUCUCUGGGUGGAUCUCCGGCCGGGCCCUUGCUAAUCUCAGAUAAUCGACCGACAUAUAUGCCGCCGGCCAGACGGAUCAGGAGGAGGCACGGCGCUCCCCGGCCGGCCGCCCGGACUGAGCAGCGGUGACAGCUCGGACGCAACGCACUUGGCCUGCGUCAGCUGCGGCGGCAGGGUCCAUCUCCUCCCUGGAGCAGCGGUGGUGGCGUGGGACACAGCGGGCUCGGCCGCGAAAAUGGAUUUCUCUGGCGGGGCAUUUGCAAAUGUCGAUAUGCCGACAAAUCCUUGCCUCUGUUCCUCGACCUCGUUUGAGGGACGCAUAUGCCCCUGCGGCCGUUCCUCCUCGUGGUCAGUGAUGCAAAGCCGAGGGCACUGAAGUCGCUGCCGCUGUUCCUCUACGCGACGGUGAUACACAUGGCGUAGCCUCUCCUUGAUCUUAUACUCCGUGCCUCGUUCAUCCAUAUAUGAUCUUAUUUUUUUCAGUUUUUUGCUAGAUUUAACAUUGGCCUUUGUUCAAAUCCUAUUCAUGUUGAACCAUUGAAAGCAAGCACACAAAGCUGCAGAGGCAACCAGUCCAAAGGAAUCAGUACGAUAAUGUGUUUCCAGUAUUCCUAAAAUAAAUGAAGUAAUGGUGUGAUUAACACUAA